UACAGAGGUCUCAAGCGUUGUUCGGAUUCAUUGGGCGUAAAGGGUGCGUAGGUGGCGCCGUAAGUCAGGUGUGAAAUUUCGAGGCUUAACCUCGAAACUGCAUUUGAUACUGCGGUGCUUGAGGACUGGAGAGGAGACUGGAAUUCAUGGUGUAGCAGUGAAAUGCGUAGAGAUCAUGAGGAAGACCAGUGGCGAAGGCGGGUCUCUGGGCCACUACUGACGCUGAGAAGCGAAAGCAUGGGGAGCGAACAGG
rnacentral:rRNA from 1 species